ensembl:snRNA
GUGUUGUAUGAAAGGAGAGAAGGUUAACACUCCCCUCGGGCCUGACAACACCCAUAUGGUGAAGGCAUUGCCACCUAUUUCGCGGCAUCUAACCAUUUUUU